CUGCAACAGAGUGAAAAUACCAGUUUAAAAAUAUUGUGAUUCUAUUUUCAGAAAAAAAAAACACCUCUGUUUGCAUCUGUAGACAAAGAUCUGUUCAGAAUGGUUGGCUUUGUGAGUUUACAGCUGGCCGAUGAGAGGUGCUGCAUGAUAUUGGAAGAUGGGACAGAAGGAACCAGUAUUCUGCAGAGGCAGUUGCAUGAGCAGAUAUGAAAUGUCCUGGAGGCUCCCCCAGUAAGCUGAGAAGCACCUGCUUUCCCACUAUAGACUGAGACCACUGAUGGAAGCUUCCCAGAGAUUUGAGAAUUGCAGAAGCUUCUGUGAGCUAUGAAGAACAACGUGACUUUGACCUUCAGACUGAGAUAUAGCUGGAGGCUGCUUUGACCUUCUUUCCCACAGCUCUUUUGACCUUUCUAAAGCCCCAAACCCUAUCUUAAAAAUGACAAAUAUGGAAUGCAAAGAGCAGCUUUUCUUUUUCUGAUCAUGGCCUUAAUGUAAUACAAUAGUGAAACCGUCUAGCAUAGUGAUUAAGAACAUUGGCUGUAGAAUUAGACAUAUUUAGUUUAGCAUUUUGAUUCUACCCCAAACUGGCAAAGUUACUGAAUGUAUCUAAAUUUUAAUUUGCUCAUUUGUAAAAUAUGGCUAAUAAUAGUACUAUUUUUUAGCUCAUUUAUAAAGUAUGGAUAAUAAUAGUGCCUAUUUUAGGGAGUUCUGAAUAUUAAAAGAAGUAAACCAUGUAAAGCACUUAGCACAGUGCUGGAUACUAACAAUCGUUAUUGUGAUCUAACUAUAAUUUUGCUUAAAAACAUUUGUUCAAGUUUUCUUAUAUCAUCUCCUCUAUAGAUAUGAGAAUUUAACAUGAAAUUUUAACUCUACAAGUUAAAUGGGAGCUAAAAUAAUAUUGUGCAGCCUGUUCUUUUUGAAGCAUUUUUAAUGAAUAAAUUAAUUUUCC
rnacentral:lncRNA from 10 species